GCGGGGGUUGCCAAGCCUGGUCAACGGCGCAGGGCUUAGGACCCUGUCCCGUAGGGGUUCGUGGGUUCAAAUCCCACCCCCCGCACCA
rnacentral:tRNA from 1 species